rnacentral:misc_RNA from 1 species
UCUCCGUAGGUGAACCUGCGGAGGGAUCAUUACCGAGUGAGGGUCCUCGCGGCCCGACCUCCAACCCCCUGUCUUCUGACUCUGUUGCCUCGGGGGCGACCCGGCCUUCGGGCGUCGGGGCCCCCGGUGGUCCACACCUCAACUCUUGGAUCUGUGUGUCCGAGUAACAUAUUGAAUCAAUCAAAACUUUCAACAACGGAUCUCUUGGUUCUGGCAUCGAUGAAGAACGCAGC